rnacentral:rRNA from 1 species
CGGUGUUUAACUGGCGUGAUGUGGGACGUCCUACCGGUGGGCUUAGCCUCGCGAGGGGCGGCCCAACUAAUAUCCCGUCGCGGUGCUCUUUACUGAGUGUCGAGUCGGGCCGGUACGUUUACUUUGAACAAAUUAGAGUGCUUAAAGCAGGCUAUCCUCGCCUGAAUACUGCGUGCAUGGAAUAAUGGAAUAGGACCUCGGUUCUAUUUUGUUGGUUUUCGGAACCCCGAGGUAAUGAUUAAUAGGGACAGAUGGGGGCAUUCGUAUUGCGACGUUAGAGGUGAAAUUCUUGGAUCGUCGCAAGACGGACAGAAGCGAAAGCAUUUGCCAAAAAUGUUUUCAUUAAUCAAGAACGAAAGUUAGAGGUUCGAAGGCGAUCAGAUACCGCCCUAGUUCUAACCAUAAACGAUGCCAGCUAGCGAUCCGCCGAAGUUCCUCCGAUGACUCGGCGGGCAGCUUCCGGGAAACCAAAGCUUUUGGGUUCCGGGGGAAGUAUGGUUGCAAAGCUGAAACUUAAAGGAAUUGACGGAAGGGCACCACCAGGAGUGGAGCCCUGCGGCUUAAUUUGACUCAACACGGGAAACCUCACCAGGCCCAGACACCGGAAGGAUUGACAGAUUGAUAGCUCUUUCUUGAUUCGGUGGGUGGUGGUGCAUGGCCGUUCUUAGUUGGUGGAGCGAUUUGUCUGGUUAAUUCCGAUAACGAACGAGACUCUAGCCUGCUAAAUAGGCGUACCUUAUGGUAUCGCGAAGGCCCCCGGCUUCGGCCGGUGGGUUUUUACUACCAACGUACAAACAAAUCUUUUAGAGGGACAGGCGG